AUACUUACCUGGUAGGGGAGAUACCAUGAUCAAGAAGGUGGUUCACCCAGGGCGAGGCUCAGCUAUUGCACUCCGGCUGUGCUGACCCCUGCGAAUUCCCCAAAUGUGGGAAUCUCGACUGCAUAAUUUCUGGUAGUGGGGGACUGCGUUCGCGCUCUCCCCUG
rnacentral:snRNA from 1 species